GGAAACAUGACUAGGAAACAAUGAUUCCUGGUUUGCCUACCUUCAGGAGACAUGGCUAGGAAACAAUGAUUCCUGGUUUGCCCACCUUCAGGAAACAUGACUAGGAAACAAUGAUUCCUGGUUUGCCUACCUUCAGGAGACAUGGCUAGGAAACAAUGAUUCCUGGUUUGCCCACCUUCAGGAAACAUGACUAGGAAACAAUGAUUCCUGGUUUGCCUACCUUCAGGAGACAUGGCUAGGAAACAAUGAUUCCUGGUUUGCCCACCUUCAGGAAACAUGACUAGGAAACAAUGAUUCCUGGUUUGCCUACCUUCAGGAGACAUGGCUAGGAAACAAUGAUUCCUGGUUUGCCCACCUUCAGGAAACAUGACUAGGAAACAAUGAUUCCUGGUUUGCCUACCUUCAGGAGACAUGGCUAGGAAACAAUGAUUCCUGGUUUGCCCACCUUCAGGAAACAUGACUAGGAAACAAUGAUUCCUGGUUUGCCUACCUUCAGGAGACAUGGCUAGGAAACAAUGAUUCCUGGUUUGCCCACCUUCAGGAAACAUGACUAGGAAACAAUGAUUCCUGGUUUGCCUACCUUCAGGAGACAUGGCUAGGAAACAAUGAUUCCUGGUUUGCCCACCUUCAGGAAACAUGACUAGGAAACAAUGAUUCCUGGUUUGCCUACCUUCAGGAGACAUGGCUAGGAAACAAUGAUUCCUGGUUUGCCUACCUUCAGGAAACAUGGCUAGGAAACAAUGUUCCCUGGUUUGUCUACCUUCAGGAAACAUGACUAGGAAACAAUGUUUCCUGGUUUGUUCACCUUCAGGAAACAUGACUAGGAAACAAUGCUUCCUGGUUUGCCCACCUUCAGGAAACAUGACUAGGAAACAAUGAUUCCUGGUUUGCCCACCUUCAGGAAACAUGACUAGGAAACAAUGUUUCCUGGUUUGCCCACCUUCACGAAACAUGACUAGGAAACAAUGCUUCCUGGUUUGUCCACCUUCAGGAAACAUGGCUAGGAAACAAUGAUUCCUGGUUUGCCCACCUUCAGGAAACAUGGCUAGGAAACAAUGUUUCCUUGUUUGCUUACAUUCAGGAAACAUGGCUAGGAAACAAUGUUUCCUGGUUUGCCCACCUUCAGGAAACAUGGCUAGGAAACAGUGUUUCCACAAAAAGGUUACAAAAACAUUUUGGCAUAAUUUCCAAACAUCACUCGUACUAUUAAUCCCUAAUUGUACUCCCCAUCGCAUGAUUACCUAUACUUAUGCUGGUAAAAAAAAAAAAAUAAAACAUACAGAUGAAGAUUUAUUCCAAGAUACAUUCUAUACAGAAAUACAGUGGCGAAAAUUUCGGUGGGGUGCAAUUAUCCUCCAACCUUUACGUACGUUGAGUGUAUAAAUGCAUGGGGAAAGGGGCUUGUCGAAAAUUCAGUAGCACUCUAAAGACUUCCAUGGUUAAAAAUCUCCUGGCUAAUGUAAAAUUAACACUGUUUGGGGGUAACAUAAUGGUUAAAUUCUUGGUUAAUAGUCAAACUAACAUAAUCUGGUUAAUUCAACCAUAUAUAGCAUGGUUAAAUUAGCUAUGAUAAAAUUAACCAGAACUGUGGAAAUUUAACAGGAAACAUUAAGCUACCCAAACAGUGUUAGAUUAACCAAGAAAUUCUAAACUAUAGGGUGUUUCCAGAGUGAGGCUUUGUUCCCCAUGACAGGAAAAAAUAAUUUCCGCCACUGUAGAAAUAAUUUCUGUCAUAUACUAACUAGUUAAAAUACAUUAUUUACUCUACAAAAUGCUACUAUACUCAGAGUCUAAUAAAAUGUUUGCGUUUUGGUCGGAUACCUGAAAGACACGUGAAAGUUUGCCUUAAUAGAGAGGUUAAGAUACCCCGGUUUCGGUGUACGUGUACGGGUAGCGUGAUUUUUGUUAGCAAUAUUUUCGUCGAUGUCUGUAGCUUUACUCGUAAUUAAGGUGCACAUUUUUCGCAUUAUAUCGUUGUCUAUUGCAAGAAAACAGAAAAAGUAUGAUCGAAUUGCAGACAUCAGUAAAACAAGAUGACACUACUCGCACCCGUUCACCGAAACCGGGGUAUCUUAGGCCCCGUUUACACUAUACCGGAUUGCUAUCGGAGUGGGUCAAAUUUUGUAGGUAUCGAAAGGCUGUGAAGAUUUUUAAUCUCAGAGACCCAAAUAAACAUGCCAAUUCUGCCAAACUAAUAAGCAUUUGCUACUAACCAUUGCUCCGUAACGGCAAAAGAAGAUGUCGUGACCAGCGAAUCCGGUAUAGUGUAAACAGGGCCUUAACCUCUCUAAUCUUUUCAGGACGUUCCGCCCAAAAACACGACAGUUUAUUGCUGAAUACUGCUACGGUGCCCCAUAUUAUAGCGUUCUAAGAACACUCGGGUUAAAAUAUUUCGGGCUAGUAUAGGUAAUAGUAUGGUUUCGUGUGCAACUUGGAAAAAGAUAUGCACGAGUGAGUUUUUCAAAGACGAUCAAAAUUGCGCGAGUCCGAAGGACGAGUGGAAUUUGAAGUCCUUGAAAAACUCACGAGUGUAUACUUUUCCAAAUUGCACGAGAAACCAUACUAUUACUUAUUAAUAAUAUACAUGAAAAAAUUAUAUAGUUACAACUCCUACAUCUGCUGUGUUGGUGUAAUGUACUCAGGUAAAAAAGUACAUUACACCAACACAGCAGAUUUCAUAAAAUAUUAGAUUACACUGAUAUCGAAGGAACUAGACUCAGUUCCGAAAUAUCGCUUACUCGAACCGUCCUGACCGCGUAGCUCAGUUGGAAGAGCAUUGGGCUAGUAUUCCAAAGGUCGUAGGUUCGAAUCCCGCCGUGGCCAGGCAUGUUUUUCGGGCCUGCCCGGUGUGGAUAUACACUCAGAGUAACAUCACACAAACAUCUUAUUCACCUGAGUACAUUACACCAACACAGCAGAUUUCAUAAAAUAUUAGAUUACACUGAUAUCGAAGGAACUAGACUCAGUUCCGAAAUAUCGCUUACUCGAACCGUCCUGACCGCGUAGCUCAGUUGGAAGAGCAUUGGGCUAGUAUUCCAAAGGUCGUAGGUUCGAAUCCCGCCGUGGCCAGGCAUGUUUUUCGGGCCUGCCCGGUGUGGAUAUACACUCAGAGUAACAUCACACAAACAACUCCUACAUGUUGGGUUUUUGUAUUAUUUCUUCUGGAAAUUGCUGUAUCUUAUUGGCUAUCUUUGUUAUUGUUUCAUAUUUUAAGCCAAUCAGAGAGCCUAAAUAGUCAAUGAAAUUUGCACUGUAUUUCUUUUUUUUGCACAGUAUUUCAUUUUUUAGCGCUGUAUUUCGAAAAAAUUGCACUGCUCUGAGCCAAUCAGCAUUGAGAAAUGUUUUCAUGUAUAUUAUUAACCAGGAAACUUACCCAGGAAUAUA
rnacentral:tRNA from 1 species